CAUUCAUAAUAAGUGUUCUACUGCACUUUUUAAACAAGUACUCACCUUGUGUGCAAUGUUUGCUGGCGUGUCGUUCAUUUCGUCGCGUCGGCAUAAUACCAACCUUUUUUAUUUUAAUCUUUUGUCUUAAGCUAUUUUGAAUAACAUAAUUCUUAAUACAACUUUCAACAACGGAUCUCUUGGCUCUCGCAUCGAUGAAGAACGCAGCGAAAUGCGAUACGUAAUGUGAAUUGCAGAAUUCAGUGAAUCAUCGAAUCUUUGAACGCACAUUGCACUCUCUGGUAUUCCGGAGAGUAUGCUUGUUUGAGUAUCUGUAAACAUCUCAACCCUCAAGGCGCUUGCGUCGGGAGGAUUGGACUUGAGCGAUCCCGACUCUUUCUCACGAAAGAGGAGGGUCGCUUGAAAUGCAGGUGCAGCAGGACAUUCUUCUGAGCUAAAAGCAUAUCUAUUUAGUCCCGUCAAACGGAUUAUUACUUUUGCUUCAGCUAACAUAAAGGUCGAAUGCGCCACAAUCGCUGAUUGCAGGAAAACUCGUUCGCAAGAACUUGUAAACUCGAUCUCAAAUCAAGUAAGACUACCCGCUGAACUU
rnacentral:rRNA from 1 species